rnacentral:rRNA from 1 species
UACGAAAGGUGCAAGCGUUACUCGGAAUCACUGGGCGUAAAGCGCGCGUAGGUGGACCUGUAGGUCGGUUGUGAAAUACCUGGGCUCAACCCAGGAGGGGCAGCCGAAACCACAGGUCUUGAAUACCUGAGAGGGUGGGGGAACACCUGGUGGAGAAGUGAAAUUCGUAGAGAUCAGGUGGAACACCGGAGGCGAAGGCGCCUGCCUGGCAGUGUAUUGACGCUGAAGUGCGAAAGUGCGGGGAGCAAACAGG